CUGGUGUCGUGGCUGGACAAGCUGAACAAGCUCGUGGAAACCAAAUUUCUUAGUACCGGCCACAGAGUCACACAGGCAGAGCAUGACAGAAUGGACGACAUGGCACGAGGCACGUAUCACUACGGUCUUCGGCUUCUUGACGACGCUGUGAAACUGCGCAAGCUAACUGGCUAUGGUACGGCACCUAGCAACCGUGUGGCAGACGCUCUCUUUGAUGCCUGGGUCGGCUACGUCACAACUUCGAGGUGCCUGAGGCGCUCUGAACAACCUCCCAUUGCUAAAGAACCACAGGUGCUGCCUAGGUGACUGAAUUUUCCCGGCGUAAAUGAAAAUGUGGACGACAACAGCUGGUAGCAUUUACUUACGAGAUGCGAGUGCCCAAAGAGAACCGCUAGUCAAAAAGAAGAAUUGUUAUUUUUUUACUGUUUAUUUGAGGUUUGUACGUCGUAACACCAUGAACUUAGGGAAGCAGCUACUUAAGAAGCAGGAGGAGCCAGUGGAAAGCUGCAAACAACUUGGACUUUUCACGAGGCAGCGUCUUGGAGGCCAUGAUGCAUCCCUGCGGUGGUAAAGAGAAGGCAUACAUGUGCAGCUCUGGCCAGGAGAAUGUGCUUGGAGAAGAGGCACUGAGAAAACUUCAGGACACCGGAAUUUGUCACUUUAAAGGGAUACUACAACGAAAUUUCGGCACUUAUUUCUUGGUCUAUACGUGUUCAAGAGAGCACAUCUUCCGUCGAAAAAGACACGAAAAGGACUUUUAAGACAAAUUAUACGAUUAGCAAAGGGCACCGGGGGGUGUCGCUAAACCAUCAUUUGUAACGCCCGUCUAGGAACCUCGACAGGUAGCAAUGAUGCCUGUCUCGCCUAGAACUACACGAGCCUCGAAUCUGACGCCAUCCCAUGAGCUCUCCGGUCACCACGAGAGAAGGGAAGGAGGAACUCCCCUCUCACAGUGCUCUCUUUUGUGUGUCCUAGACUUGCCCAGAUGUUGCCAUUGUCCUUGUACAAGAUUAGAGAAGAUUAACCCGUCAUUCAAAACUCCUACAAAAAGUCAAAAACUGCUGACGUGCUGGAACGGCUAGGGCAUCCUGUCGAUGUCAGCCUUGCUGCAGCUUUGCUCGUCCCGGGACAGUUUACGUCGCAAUUGUGCCGGAUGUCACUUGUUCUCCACUGGCUGCUCUCCGAGCACUUGCCAGAGUGGGUUGUUUGUAACGAAAAAUACAGUCAUCAGGCUCAAAAUA